GAAGUUAAUAAAACAUUUUUCGUUAUUGAUUACGGAAAGAAAACCAUUAAAUACAAGCACACUUACGAGUUUAGAGAUUCUGACGAAUUACUGAAGCAUCUCAAAGAAAAACAUGAAAGAUGUGAAGGUGGCUUAAAUAUGCAGCUCGUUAUUAAUGGGAAUAGCGCGCUCAAACCCGAAAUUGAA